rnacentral:rRNA from 1 species
CCUGAAUCCAGCCAUGCCGCGUGUGUGAAGAAGGCCUUAUGGUUGUAAAGCACUUUAAGCGAGGAGGAGGCGCUCUAGGUUAAUACCUUAGAAGCGUGGACGUUACUCGCAGAAUAAGCACCGGCUAACUCUGUGCCAGCAGCCGCGGUAAUACAGAGGGUGCGAGCGUUAAUCGGAUUUACUGGGCGUAAAGCGUACGUAGGCGGCUUUUUAAGUCGGAUGUGAAAUCCCCGAGCUUAACUUGGGAAUUGCAUUCGAUACUGGGAAGCUAGAGUAUGGGAGAGGAUGGUAGAAUUCCAGGUGUAGCGGUGAAAUGCGUAGAGAUCUGGAGGAAUACCGAUGGCGAAGGCAGCCAUCUGGCCUAAUACUGACGCUGAGGUACGAAAGCAUGGGGAGCAAACAGGAUUAGAUACCCUGGUAGUCCAUGCCGUAAACGAUGUCUACUAGCCGUUGGGGCCUUUGAGGCUUUAGUGGCGCAGCUAACGCGAUAAGUAGACCGCCUGGGGAGUACGGUCGCAAGACUAAAACUCAAAUGAAUUGACGGGGGCCCGCACAAGCGGUGGAGCAUGUGGUNUAAUUCGAUGC